rnacentral:rRNA from 1 species
UACGGAGGGGGCUAGCGUUGUUCGGAAUUACUGGGCGUAAAGCGCACGUAGGCGGCUUUGUAAGUUAGAGGUGAAAGCCCGGGGCUCAACUCCGGAAUUGCCUUUAAGACUGCAUCGCUAGAAUUGUGGAGAGGUAAGUGGAAUUCCCAGUGUAGAGGUGAAAUUCGUAGAUAUUGGGAAGAACACCGGUGGCGAAGGCGGCGACCUGGUCCGAGACUGACGCUGAGGCGCGAAAAGCGUGGGGGAGCAAACAGG